rnacentral:rRNA from 1 species
AUUGAACGCUGGCGGCAGGCUUAACACAUGCAAGUCGAACGAUGAAACUCUAGCUUGCUAGAGAUGAUUAGUGGCGGACGGGUGAGUAACAUUUAGGAAUCUGCCUAGUAGUGGGGGAUAGCUCGGGGAAACUCGAAUUAAUACCGCAUACGACCUACGGGUGAAAGGGGGCGCAAGCUCUUGCUAUUAGAUGAGCCUAAAUCAGAUUAGCUAGUUGGUGGGGUAAAGGCCCACCAAGGCGACGAUCUGUAACUGGUCUGAGAGGAUGAUCAGUCACACCGGAACUGAGACACGGUCCGGACUCCUACGGGAGGCAGCAGUGGGGAAUAUUGGACAAUGGGGGCAACCCUGAUCCAGCCAUGCCGCGUGUGUGAAGAAGGCCUUUUGGUUGUAAAGCACUUUAAGCAGGGAGGAGAGGCUAAUGGUUAAUACCCAUUAGAUUAGACGUUACCUGCAGAAUAAGCACCGGCUAACUCUGUG